CUUUAUUGGAGAGUUUGAUCCUGGCUCAGGAUGAACGCUGGCGGCGUGCCUAAUACAUGCAAGUCGAGCGAAUGGAUUGAGAGCUUGCUCUCAAGAAGUUAGCGGCGGACGGGUGAGUAACACGUGGGUAACCUGCCC
rnacentral:rRNA from 1 species